rnacentral:sRNA from 1 species
CCUGGGCAGACGUUGGUAUCCAGUUCGGGUUUUUUUUUAAAUUGAAACUUCACAGCAGACGAUCAAAAAUAAAAAUAUUUUUUUUUUACUCCAUUUAUCGAAAAUGGGUCACUCGGUUUAUUUUUUCUGUGUUUGGACUUUAACUCUAUGGGGUUUCUUUAGUAUCAGCCAAGCUUGUUUACAUGAAGGAAAUGAGUGUGUCAGAUCGAUCCAAACAGGAGAAAUGCAAAUGGAUCAGUUAGAUCAAAUGUGUCCCAAGUUCAGCGCUGCCUUUAGUUGUCUGGACGCGGCCAUUGCUACGUGCACGAAUGACGGAAUAAAAAACCAUUUGAACCAUAUGAAGACAUUGCUAGGACAGCAGUUCAACACCCUCUGUAAGUGUUUGAAACACGGAAACACAAACCAUUUAUUUACAUGUCUAAACUUAGUAACGUCAAGAAUGACAAUUUGGUAUUUCAGAAGCUCUGUUUCCA